rnacentral:rRNA from 1 species
CCUACGGGAGGCAGCAGUAGGGAAUCUUCCGCAAUGGACGAAAGUCUGACGGAGCAACGCCGCGUGAACGAUGAAGGCCUUCGGGUCGUAAAGUUCUGUUGUUAGGGAAGAACAAGUGCUAGUUAAAUAAGCUGGCACCUUGACGGUACCUAACCAGAAAGCCACGGCUAACUACGUGCCAGCAGCCGCGGUAAUACGUAGGUGGCAAGCGUUGUCCGGAAUUAUUGGGCGUAAAGCGCGCGCAGGCGGUUUCUUAAGUCUGAUGUGAAAGCCCCCGGCUCAACCGGGGAGGGUCAUUGGAAACUGGGAAACUUGAGUGCAGAAGAGGAAAGUGGAAUUCCAAGUGUAGCGGUGAAAUGCGUAGAGAUUUGGAGGAACACCAGUGGCGAAGGCGACUUUCUGGUCUGUAACUGACGCUGAGGCGCGAAAGCGUGGGGAGCAAACAGGAUUAGAUACCCUGGUAGUCCACGCUGUAAACGAUGAGUGCUAAGUGUUAGAGGGUUUUCCGCCCUUUAGUGCUGAAGUUAACGCAUUAAGCACUCCGCCUGGGGANCGGUCGCAAGACUGAAACUCAAAGGAUUGACGG